AAACAACAUCGAAACAUUUCUGUUGCAAGAAGCCCUGAGAGCCUUCUCGCCCCAGCCCGGUCUCCCGCGGGCCCCAGCCUCAUCUCCCAGGGCCCCACCCUGAGAGCUCCCGCGCCCCAGCCGCGUUCCCCUGGACCCCUCCCAGGGGUGGCGAGCCGGGUCUCACAAGCGCUCCGCUGCCAGAGAGCAGUAGGGCGCCAACCGUGGGCUGUUUGCCCGGCAGAGGGCACCCAGGCUCACUCGGCUUCAACGGGCUGUGCGCAGAGGGGCGGGCUCUUGCCAGGCAGCAGAUGUUUCGUGCACAGCUGGGAGGAAGGAACGCCCCGGGGAGUGGACGGCGGCCGAGGGACCCUGGAACAGUCCACCCUGGCGGAGUCCCCCUCCGCGGCUCCCGCAGCCCCCUCAUCCCUGGAGGACCGGGAACAGGGGUUGGCCCGGAGUCCUCUACUCCACGCCGGAAGUAGCUUCUUGGCAGGACCGGCCGUGCCUGUUGCGUUCAGCAGCCUCGAGCCGCUUUUUUCUGGGUGUACCUCAGCUCACAUACCCGAUGCAAGCCCUUCCGGGCAUCCGCGUCUUGCUCUCGGUGACUCAUCCCACCCUGUGCCUUGCGACACACCCCGUCGCUUUCUCUGGCCAUCCGGGAGCGCAACGCCAUCUCCCUCGAGCCCCUCCUCCCCUAUGGUGCUCUGUGCUGUGGUUGCACGUUCUUCUCCCUCCAACUCCGGGCUAGGAGGCACGGGGAGAGCUCCCUGGCUCUUGGCUCUUCCCAGGCCACCGGGAGACAGCAGCCUCCGCCUUCAUUUCCCCUGGUCAUUUCAGACCCAUGUAUGGAAGAUUUUAGCAUCUGACUCAGCUUCCCCAACAUCCAUCCCUCCACUGGCAUCCACUCACCGCUGUGGAGCUUUCAGUGUCCUGGAGAGGACUGACCAAUCUGACCCAUCAGCUCCUACCCGGUCCAAUUUGAAGGCCACUGCCGCUCAACCAUGGCCACCCACACCUGCCCCACCUGGAGUCCCAAACUACUCAGCUCCUUCUCUAAAACUCUCCCCUCCUUUGUUUGCUGUUAAUAACUCUCCGCCAGGCCCGUGGCUCAGGCCUGUAAUCUCAGCACUUUGGGAGGGCAAGGUGGGCAGAUAA
rnacentral:lncRNA from 13 species